CAGGAGAGAUACAGCACAGGCAGCGACAGUGCAAGAUUUCCCCACACCACCCCAUCCAUGAGCCUCAACCCUGACCUGGAGGGACCACCAUUCAA
rnacentral:sRNA from 1 species